AGAGCCAUGAUUUAUUACAGAAAAAGGGUGAUAAAUCCAAAUCUGAUUAUGUUACAUCACACGAUCAUUGUCUUUGUACAUAUUCUGGUAUGCUUUUCCAUAGGGAUGAAGUGAUAACAGUGUGCAGUAUUGACAUACCUCAUGUUAGAAAAACAGAUGACAUCGUAUAGAUAGUAAAUCUAUGGUCUUACUGUGCUUCCUCAUCAAACACCUUUAGGGGCCGUUUCAGGGUUUAAGACUAAAACAGAUUAAGACUAAUCCUAAUCCAUAGGUUUAUGGAGAUUCUCCAUUGAUCUUGGUAUUCAGUCCAGGACUAGUCUUAAUCUGUGUCCUGGAAACCGUCCCCUGAAGGUGCAAAAAUAUUUUUUUUAUGUGCUUUCCAUGUGCCCCACCAGAUUAUUUGAUCUUUGUAUUUAUAUAUUUUUAUUUAUAAUCUUUUAACCAGGUGAGUUCUAAAAUAAUAUCAACAAAAACAAUAUUUCCAUCCCAGAUUCCAUUGGACAGUUUUUGGGCGUUAUUUAAUCCGCAUCGUGGAAAUUCAUCUCAAAUUCAGCUUUACAGCGACACCUCCAAAACAUCGGCUAUGCGGGUGUUGGCUAUCGGCCGUUAACUCCUGGUCUGAUUGGAUCCUGGCCUGAAGUCUGAUUGGAUCCUGGCCUGAAGCCUGAUUGGAUCCUGGCCUGAAGUCUGAUUGGAUCCUGGCCUGAAGUCUGAUUGGAUCCUGGUCUGAAGCUUCAACCAAGGAAGGUUUCGUUGUGUCCGUCCCAGAAACACUAAUAAACAUUAUGACGACAUAUGAAAACACAAUGCAAACAAAAUGCUCUUCUUCACAAAAUGUCUCGGGAAGAAACAUCAGCCUUGUACAUCAAUCGGGGUAUUAAACAAUCAAUCAACAAUCCAUUAUAUUGACUGACAAACAUCAUGUACGAUCAAUCAUGAUGAAAUAAGAAACUAUUUUUUUUGUAGGACAGAAUAGUGACAUGUUUUUCCAAAACCCUAAUCAUUGACUUAUAGACUUGUAAGCUCUAUUUAAUGCAGACUCAACACUAAAAAACACUAAUAAUUACUAUCUCCUUUGGACACUGUUCAAGAUGGAUGCUGUAGUCAUGGUUACGACAUGCAUAGAUUUCAAAUGACCAACCACAUCGAAGGGAAGGUGUUUUUCAGUCCAAUCACAUCAAAGGGAAAAUGUUUGACCAUUCCUCAGCCAAUCAGUGCCAAAACAAAACAAUCCUCAAAAUAUGUAAAUGUAUGAUGAGACUGUGUCUUGUACUUACAGAGUCUUCAGAAAGUAAUGACAAAGUGAAAACAUGUUUUCUCGACAUUUUCACAAAUGUAUUGAAAAUGAAAUACAGAAAUAUCUAAUUUACAUAUGUAUUCACACCCCCCGAGUCAAUACAUGUUAGAAUCACCUUUGCCAGAGAUUACAGCUGCGAGUCUUUCUGGUUAAGUCUCUACGAGAUUUGCACAGCUGGAUAGUACAAUUUUUGCACUUUUUAUUUAUUUUUAAAUGCUUAAAUUAUUUGAGCUCUUUCAAGUUGGUUGUUAAUCAUUGCUAUACAGCCAUUUUCAAGUGUUGCCAUAGAUAUUAAGGCAGAUUUAAGUCAAAAUUAUAACUGGGCCACUCAGGAACAUUCAAUGUUGUCUUGGUAAGCAACUCCAGUGUAUAUUUGGCCUUGUGUUUUAGGUUAUUGUCCUGCUGAAAAGUGCAUUUCUCUCCACUGUCUGUUGGAAAGCAGACUGAACCAGGUUUUCCUCUAGGAUUUUGUCUGUGCUUAGCUCUAUUCUGCCUCUUUUAUUCUGUACAGGCUUCCUUCUUUUCACUCAGUCCUUUAGGUCAGUAUUUUGGAGUUAACUACAAUGUUGUUGAUCCAUCUUCAGUUUUCUCUUAUCCACAUCCUUUAAACUCUGUAACUGUUUACAGUCACCAUUGGCCUCAUGGUGAAAUCGCUGAGCAGUUUUCCUUCCUCUCCAGGUAACUGAAGGAAGCGUGGAUAUUUGUAGUGACUGGGUGUAUUGAUACACCAUCCGAAGUGCAAUGAAUAACUUCACCCUGCUCAAAGGGAUAUUCAAUGUCUGCUUUUAUACUUUUACCCAGAUACUUUUUUAUUUUAUUUUUAUUUAUCCGUUAUUUUACCAGGUAAGUUGACUGAGAACACGUUCUCAUUUGCAGCAACGACCUGGGGAAUAGUUACAGGAGAGAGGAGGGGGAUGAAUGAGCCAAUUGUAAACUGGGGAUUAUUAGGUGACCGUGAUGGUAUGAGGGCCAGAUUGGGAAUUUAGCCAGGACACCAGGGUUAACACCCCUGCUCUUAUGAUAAGUGCCAUGGGAUCUUUAAUGACCUCAGAGAGUCAGGACACCCGUUUAACGUCCCAUCCGAAAGACGGCACCCUACACAGGGCAGUGUCCCCAAUCGCUGCCCUGGGGCAUUGGGAUAUUUUAUUUUUUAGACCAGAGGAAAGAGUGCCUCCUACCGGCCCUCCAACACCACUUCCAGCAGCAUCUGGUCUCCCAUCCAGGAACUGACCAAGACCAACCCUGCUUAGCUUCAGAAGCAAGCCAGCAGUGGUAUGCAGGGUGGUAUUUUUGUGAGGAAUUGGAAAACCUCCCUGGUCUUUGUGGUUGAAUUGAUGUUUGAAAUUCUCUGCUGGACUGAGGGAAAUUAGAGAUAAUUUUAUGUGUGGGGUACAGAGAUGAGGUAGUCGUUUAAAAAUCAUGUUAAACACUAUUAUUGCACACAGUGAGUCCAUGCAACUUAGGUGACUUGUUAAGCAAAUGUUUACUCAUCAACUUAUUUAGGUUUGCCAUUACAAAGGGGUUGAAUAGUUAUUGACUCAAGACAUUUCAGCUUUUCAUUUUUAAUUUAAGUUGUAAAAAAAAAAAUCUAAAAACAUAAUUCCACUUAGAAUAUUAUGGGGGUAUUGAGUGUAGAUCAGUGACACAACAUCUACAUUUGAUCCAUGUUUAGUUCAUGCUGUAACACAACAGAAUGUGGGAAAAAGUCAAUUGCUUUCAGAAUGCUUUCAGAAGGCACUGUAUCAAUUCAUAUUGAGCAAAUAAUGUUUGUAACUGAUAUGUUGGACAGUUUAUUCUGACAAUAGCAACAGUGAUAUGUAUUAAAAAUAUAUUUUAAAAAAUAUUCUUGACUAUACGUGGAUGUACUGACUGAUUGGGGUUAUUUUCAGAUGAUUAUAAUAAUAUCAACUCUGAUUCUCUAUAUGUGUUCAUUUGAUACAAUAAAUUAACAGCUUUUUUAAAACUUUAAUUUACUUUAAUUUAUAAGCAACUGACUUAUAAAUGUUGGUGCAUCAUAGUCAUGCAAAUACAGGAGUGCAAAAUAUCUAUAUUUUUAAAUAGCAGAUGAAUGUCUUAUUGAUAGCAGCUAAGAAAAUAUGAUACUUAGUUAUAUCACCUGCCAAACAUUCAGAGGACAGCUGAGGAAAAGUGGAUUUUUUUCUCCUCUUUAACAUUCAUAGAUAUAUGAUUUCUAGAUUUCGGGGGAAAAAAAGCCCAUUAGAACAAGGGAGAAUGAACAGGAAUACUGUUCUUGUAAUUAUGUUUCUAUGGUUACAUUGCCGCGAUUGCAGGGUACAGAGAGGUGAACGUCAUGCUGGUCGAUUGCAUUCAGAAUCGCAAAAAAAAAUAUUAUACACAAUCAUAGAUAAUAAUAAUAAUACGUUUGAAAAUAAUAUACAUUGCAAAGUAAACUGGAAAAAAAUAACACAUUUAUAGAAAGUAAACAGUAUAUACAAUACAUAGAAAAGUACAUUGGGAAAUGAUAACAGUUUAACAUUAAAGUAAUUUACAAUAAAUUCAAAUUUAAAUAAUUAACAAUAAAAGUUAGUUAAAUAAUUUACGAUAAAGUACAAUUUAAUUAAUAAAAGUAACAUUUUAAUCAUUUACAAUAAAAAUGAAAAGUUAAUUAAUUUACAAUAAAAGUAACAGAGACUCUAAGUUCUCUAAGUUCAACUUUUGUUCAUAAUGGAAUAGGGCUAGGUCACCUCUAAACAGAGUUAUAUUGUUGUUUAUAAUGAAACAGGGCUAGGUCACCUCUAAACAGAGGUUGUUUAUAAUGGAAUAGGGCUAGGUCAUCUCUAGACAGAGGUUGUUUAUAAUGGAAUAGGGCUAGGUCAUCUCUAGACAGAGGUUGUUCAUAAUGGAAUAGGGCUAGGUCACCUCUAGACAGAGGUUGUUUAUAAUGGAAUAGGGCUAGGUCAUCUCUAGACAGAGGUUGUUCAUAAUGGAAUAGGGCUAGGUCACCUCUAGACAGAGGUUGUUUAUAAUGGAAUAGGGCUAGGUCAUCUCUAGACAGAGGUUGUUCAUAAUGAUAUAGGGCUAGGUCAUCUCUAAACAGAGGUUGUUCAUAAUGGAAUAGGGCUAGGUCAUCUCUAGACAGAGGUUGUUCAUAAUGGAAUAGGGCUAGGUCACCUCUAAACAGAGGUUGUUCAUAAUGGAAUAGGGCUAGGUCACCUCUAGACAGAGGUUGUUUAUAAUGGAAUAGGGCUAGGUCACCUCUAGACAGAGGUUGUUUAUAAUGGAAUAGGGCUAGGUCAUCUCUAGACAGAGGUUGUUUAUAAUGGAAUAGGGCUAGGUCACCUCUAGACAGAGGUUGUUUAUAAUGGAAUAGGGCUAGGUCAUCUCUAGACAGAGGUUGUUCAUAAUGGAAUAGGGCUAGGUCAUCUCUAGACAGA